rnacentral:rRNA from 1 species
AUUGAACGCUGGCGGCAUGCUUUACACAUGCAAGUCGAACGGCAGCACGGGUGCUUGCACCUGGUGGCGAGUGGCGGACGGGUGAGUAAUACAUCGGGAACGUAUCCAGAAGAGGGGGNUAACGCAUCGAAAGAUGUGCUAAUACCGCAUAUUCUCUGAGGAGGAAAGCAGGGGAUCGAAAGACCUUGCGCUUUGGGAGCGGCCGAUGUCUGAUUAGCUAGUUGGUGGGGUAAAGGCCUACCAAGGCGACGAUCAGUAGUUGGUCUGAGAGGACGACCAGCCACACUGGGACUGAGACACGGCCCAGACUCCUAC